UGGGGGAAUUCAGUGUAUCUAUACAUAACGGUUAAUUAGCGCCAACAAAAAACGAUUCUGAAUGGAGUUCCGUUAUACAUAUGUUGAAAGGCCGUAAUAUUUACAAUUUGUUAAAACUCUGUAUAAAAAUUCUUAUAAAAAAAAUUCAUACAUUAAAUUUUUUUUUCUACCACAAAUUACGACUCGUAAUGAAACUCCUGUCAAAUUUACAAGCAUUUCUGUUCGGUCUAACAGAAAACAGGAUUUUAUUCAUAGGGUACCGAAUACAAAUUACGCGAAAACCUCGCAAAAUUAAAAUGUCUAGCUCAAAAAUGACUAAAAUGUUUUGAAAAUGUCACCGCGACUAGAAAA